CGCGGCGAUGGCCGAUGCAGGCCUGAUCCUGCCGGAAUAUCCCUUCGUUGAAAGCCAGAUCCAGCCCGCCAGUCUCGACCUGCGCCUCGGUGCGAUUGCCUACCGCGUGCGCGCCAGCUUCCUNNNNNNAUGACGGUGGCGCAGCGUAUCGAUGAGCUCAAGCUGCACGAGAUCGAUCUGUCCGAUGGCGCGGUGCUGGAAACCAACUGCGUCUAUAUCGUGCCGCUGCUGGAAAG
rnacentral:misc_RNA from 1 species